GAUGAACGCUGGCGGCGUGCCUAAUACAUGCAAGUCGAGCGAACGGACGAGAAGCUUGCUUCUCUGAUGUUAGCGGCGGACGGGUGAGUAACACGUGGAUAACCUACCUAUAAGACUGGGAUAACUUCGGGAAACCGUAGCUAAUACCGGAUAAUAUUUUGAACCGCAUGGUUCAAAAGUGAAAGACGGUCUUGCUGUCACUUAUAGAUGGACCCGCGCUGCAUUAGCUAGUUGGUAAGGUAACGGCUUACCAAGGCAACGAUGCAUAGCCGACCUGAGAGGGUGAUCGGCCACACUGGAACUGAGACACGGUCCAGACUCCUACGGGAGGCAGCAGUAGGGAAUCUUCCGCAAUGGGCGAAAGCCUGACGGAGCAACGCCGCGUGAGUGAUGAAGGUCUUCGGAUCGUAAAACUCUGUUAUUAGGGAAGAACAUAUGUGUAAGUAACUGUGCACAUCUUGACGGUACCUAAUCAGAAAGCCACGGCUAACUACGU
rnacentral:rRNA from 1 species